rnacentral:lncRNA from 1 species
CUGCAACCUCCGCCUCUCAGGUUCAAGUGAUUCUCCUACUUCACCCUCCCAAGUAGCUAGGAUUACAGGCACAUGCCACCAUGCCAGGCAGCUCUGAAUUUCCUUUGUUUGUUUGCUUUCUGAGUUGGGGUCCUCGUUCUGUCACCUAGGCUGGAGCGGACUGGUGCGUUCAUAGCUCACUGCAACUUAAAACUCCUGAGCUCAAGCCAUCCUCCACCUCAGCCUCCUGAUUAGCAGGGACUACAGGUGUGCACCACCAUGCUGGGCCAGCUCCAGAUUUCUUAUGCUCCGCAGGCUGGAGAAGUUAUGGAAGGGAUAUUCUGCAAGAUGAGGACAACUGAUUAUCAGAAGAAGGAAUGAGAACAUGAUCCUGCUUCUCUAGGGUUGAAGAGUCCCGGAAUAAACUGAACAAACAGAUGGC